rnacentral:rRNA from 1 species
UACGGGGGGGGCAAGCGUUGUUCGGAAUUACUGGGCGUAAAGGGCUCGUAGGCGGCCAACUAAGUCAGACGUGAAAUCCCUCGGCUUAACCGGGGAACUGCGUCUGAUACUGGAUGGCUUGAGUUUGGGAGAGGGAUGCGGAAUUCCAGGUGUAGCGGUGAAAUGCGUAGAUAUCUGGAGGAACACCGGUGGCGAAGGCGGCGUCCUGGACCAACACUGACGCUGAGGAGCGAAAGCCAGGGGAGCAAACGGG